CCGAGAUUUAACGGGACUUAAAAUAAAACGGGUUGUGAACAAGAUAAAGUAACUAGGAAAUAAAUAACUUAGUACAAGUCUUGUAAUUAAAUGAAAGAAGUUAGUUUGAUGUGAAAAUAGUCUAAAAAUAUAAACUAAAGGGGCUGAUUAUGUAUAAGUGGCCAAACUAGACUUUUAUAAAAAAAAAAAAAAAGAAAUCACACACACACACAUCAGUGUGUGCGUGGGGAACGACCAGAGCAGGAAGAAAAAGGGUAAAACCCUAAACUCCACAAAAUCUUCUAAUUGAAGGUGCAAUUGAAGACCAAACUCGGAUUUGAAUACAUAUAAACGAUCACCGAGCUAAGGGGAUCGUAAGUUGACUCUAAACAAGCUAGGUGGGAGCUUGGAAAGGAACGGGUCAAACGGAUCAUGGAUGCGAAGAAUGUUUGCGCGAACGCGAGGUAAGUAAAGCUUACACCCAUUUGUAGUAAACGUAUGUAUUUUAUAGAUGAUAAAUGUGACAACCGAUUACAUUCGAAAUUGAAGUUCCGACACUAAGCAAUAUGAGUCGGAACGAAUAAAAAUGAUCAAAACCAUGGUUAAUGGUAAAAUGGACAAAAGGGUAAUUUCGUCGUGGAUCGACUAAGAAUUUAUAAGAUUUCUUUAAGGUUACCUUAUAGCGAAACUAGUAAUGGGAAAAAGGGUAAAUUAGUCACAUGUUGACUAUAUGUAAGUUGGGAUUAAAAAGAAUACCCAUGGUGUAAGCCAUAACGAGUUAGAUACGUAAGAAGAAUGAUCUUGUAGUUAAAACUUGAAAUGGGUUGAAUGGGAUAUUAAAAGCCAUGAUUUGACAUAAGUAUAAAUGUUUGGUCAUAAAUACCAAAUGGGUCAAAUGGUGGUGAUGACACUAUUUGACAAUAUCGACUAAUGUUUGGUUGUUAAGUUAAAUGUUCGCAGGAGUGAACGGGAAGUGGAUUAUUGCGUUGCUAUAAAGUAGCGGCUAAUAAAAGAAAGGUACAAAACGGGUCUAUAUGUUGACUCGAGCCAGGUACGCAUUAAUUAGAUCAUGGCGAUAUGCGUAGUUGAAUUUUAGAAUAUAAGUUACUAUGAAAUAUAGCGAUGAUAUCGCUACAUUGAAUAUUUGGUCAAAAGAUGGUUAGAACUCGUUGGUAGUCGUCAAAAAGGAAGGAAUUCCGUAGACGAGCCAAACGGGUCGAAUAAUCAAGUAAGGCAUGGUUAUUGUUUCGGAUUAUGAUGGUUUGAUGGUUGAUUUUGAAUAUUUUAUAACAUAUUAGAAAUAUGAGGUUUUAACGAAUUAGUAUCAUAGAAAACUGAAAACCGAGAGUUGGGUCUUGGAGUAAUGAUCAAACAAAACAAAACCUGACAUUCCAGGUACUACCGUAAAUUACGGUAGAACCGUAAAUUACGGUGGUUGUGAUAUGGUUUACGGAGCAGAUCUCCUGGUUUACGGUGACCAGACACUUCCAGGUCUCACCGUAAUCACCGUAAUUUACGGUGGAUUCAGAAUCACUUUUUAUAUUUUUGUUAUUUAUAAUGUGGCAUUAAGCCUUGGGAUUAUAUUAUUAUAUAUCAACGUCAAAACUAAUGAUUUUAACGGUUUUGAUCAUAGGAGAAUGCCAAGAGUGCCCGGAUGAAGAUCAAGCUCGAUGAGGAACCGAAUACAAUAAAAUCUAACACUCGGGAUUAAAGCUUCCGCACGGCGUUACGCCAUAUCUUUUAAACAACGAACUUAUCUAUAUUAUGUUGAAAACUUUUAAGUUGUAAAAGUUUUAGAUUACUUGUAUUUUCUAAGAAUACUUAAUCAAAUUUCAUGUUUA